UCUCCGUUGGUGAACCAGCGGAGGGAUCAUUACAGAGUUGCAAAACUCCCAAACCAUUGUGAACGUUACCUAUCCCGUUGCUUCGGCGGGCGGCCCGGGCCCCGCGCCCGGCGCCCCCCGGCCCCCCGUGGGCGCCCGCCGGAGGUAAACCAAACCCUUGAAUUGCAUGGCCUCUCUGAGUCUUCUGUACUGAACAAGUCAAAACUUUCAACAACGGAUCUCUUGGUUCUG
rnacentral:misc_RNA from 1 species